GCCAGACUCCUACGGGAGGCAGCAGUGGGGAAUAUUGCACAAUGGGGGGAACCCUGAUGCAGCGACGCCGCGUGGGUGAAGGAGUAUUUCGGUAUGUAAAGUCCUAUCAGCAGGGAAGAACAAUGACGGUACCUGACUAAGAAGCACCGGCUAAAUACGUGCCAGCAGCCGCGGUAAUACGUAUGGUGCAAGCGUUAUCCGGAUUUACUGGGUGUAAAGGGAGCGCAGGCGGCGCGUUAAGCCUGGUGUGAAGGCCCGCGGCCCAACCGCGGGACUGCAUUGGGAACUGGCGCGCUGGAGUGCCGGAGGGGUAGGCGGAAUUCCUAGUGUAGCGGUGAAAUGCGUAGAUAUUAGGAGGAACACCAGUGGCGAAGGCGGCCUACUGGACGGUGACUGACGCUGAGGCUCGAAAGCGUGGGGAGCAAACAGGAUUAGAUACCCUCGUAC
rnacentral:rRNA from 1 species